AGCGAACGCUGGCGGCAGGCUUAACACAUGCAAGUCGAGCGGGUGUAGCAAUACAUCAGCGGCAGACGGGUGAGUAACGCGUGGGAACGUACCUUUUGGUUCGGAACAACACAGGGAAACUUGUGCUAAUACCGGAUAAGCCCUUACGGGGAAAGAUUCAUCGCCGAAAGAUCGGCCCGCGUCUGAUUAGCUAAUUGGUAGGGUAACGGCCUACCAAGGCGACGAUCAGUAGCUGGUCUGAGAGGAUGAUCAGCCACAUUGGGACUGAGACACGGCCCAAACUCCUACGGGAGGCAGCAGUGGGGAAUAUUGGACAAUGGGGGCAACCCUGAUCCAGCCAUGCCGCGUGAGUGAUGAAGGCCCUAGGGUUGUAAAGCUCUUUUGUGCGGGAAGAUAAUGACGGUACCGCAAGAAUAAGCCCCGGCUAACUUCGUGCCAGCCGCCGCAGUAACAC
rnacentral:rRNA from 1 species